rnacentral:lncRNA from 1 species
CCCAAUCCCCUCCUCCCUAGGUGCUACUCCGUGCCGCUCGGAUCAUCGUCUUUUGGUGCGAAUCUCCAAUCAUUUUGGGAGGAAGGAAAUGGGGAGAACCCAAGGUGAUUUUUCUUUUGUGUUCAUCCCUUGUUCAUUUGCGCUGCGAUUCAAUGGAUUAGAUGUUGUGUUUGCGAUUAGAUAGAGGGGGGGGCUGUCCAGAAUUUUGCGUGGUGGAUGAACAGCGGUAGUUCCAGCAGUUUUUAGUUUUUUUUUUCGUGAAGAUUUAAUGGGGAUCAAUUUGGGAAUCUUGUAGAACUUUGUUUUAUCUUUCCAACGAGUAUUUAUGCGCUCAAUUUGGAGUUAUAAAUUAAAAGUUAUCAUCGUUUGAAUCCGGGUAUGUGGCUGUCCAGAAAACAGAUUUUUCAGAGUGAUGGACAGCAGCAGUGUUAGCAGUUUCUGGGAAUUUUUCGGGAGCAAUUAGUGUUAAUCAGUAUUAGAAUCUUGAAGAACUUUGUUUUAUCUUUCCAACGAGUAUUUAUGCGCUCAAUUUGGAGUUAUAAAUUAAAAGUUAUCAUCGUUUGAAUCCGGGUAUGUGGCUGUCCAGAAAACAGAUUUUUCAGAGUGAUGAACAGCAGCAGUGUUAGCAGUUUCUGGGGAUGUUUCGGAAGUAAUUAGUGUUAAUCAGUAUGAGAAUCAUGUAGGGCUUUUUCUUAUCUUUCCAACAAGUACUUAUGCGCUCAAAUCGGAAUUAUAUUUUAAAAGUUAUCGCUGUUUGAAUCCGCGUAUGUCGCUGCUCAAAUCAGAAAAAAACAGAUUGCAGGGUUUAUGUUGAGGACCGUUUAGAGGUAAGUAGAUGUUAGAAUUCAAUCAUGAGUUGUAUACAAAACUUGUGGGGAUUUUAUGUAGUUGUCUCUGAAGUUUUUGUUUAUCAUCACUGCUGUCCUAAAUUUUAAGUUAUGGACUUGUUAAGCAGCGCCGCUGCAGUUUGGUUAGUGAGGGGAGAAUUGUUACCGUGGCGGGGUUUGAGAUUGCGCGUAGGUGCGGUGUUGUCUUUGAGUUUUUUUUUCAUGAGAAUUUGGUGCACUAAGUUGGGUGUCAAAAACAGGUGGUGGACUUCCGGAUCGUUCUUAGAGAUUUUGCCCUAACUUCGGUAAAGGCAAGUAAAACAGUGAUGGUUAUUUCGUCUUUUGAUUGAAGAGCCUCAUACUUGAUUAUGUUUGUGCUACUUGUGUUCAUAUCCAUAUUCCUAAUUGGGUACCAUCGUUUGAAAUUAUUCAUGCUCUGUUGAUUAUACAUGUGGAGGGUGUGGUUUGAUCAUGUUACCCAUGUGGUUAUUGAUGUGAAAUGGGUGGAGGUAUAUGUCUAGCACAUCUUAUUUGGGAAGAACUUAUGUUGUUGACAUGCAUAAUGCAUUCAUCAUCCACUGCAUUGAAGUUUUCGUCGCGAUCUUAUGGUCCGACCGUACCGGUACAAUGAGCAUCAUAUGUUUUCCCGAGAAGGGGUAUGAUGCAGCUUCAUAUCCUUAGAGGUAUGAAGGCAGAAGUCAUGUUGCAUCUGUAGCCAUGUGCAUUCAUGGGUGAAGUGUGGAACCUAUUUUGGUGAUGUGGAUAAGGUGGAUCUUUACUUUGUAAUCCUUCUUGGCAUGGAGUAAUUGAGUAUUUGCUUACUUGCUGCAAAUUAAUAUUUAAGGAAGAAGUUGGGAACCAUGUGGUUGCUUAUGCACGGUUGGCUUGCAUUGUCCAACUGUUGUUUGUUUUUCUUUACUUGCUGAGAUGUGUCAUCUCACUCUUGCAUUGUCUGAUGCAGGCACCUGAUCUUUGCUUUGGGAGAAGGGAUGUAGCAGCACGGCCACCACACUUUUAAAUAAAGGAAUAACUGAUUAUUAAUGAUGUUAAACAGGAAGGGUCAAGUCUAGGGAAUUAUUACAUUCUAAUCUUGCAUGGUAGUUGAACUGUUUAGUUUGGUGGGCUGAGAUGACUAUCUUUUGUCUGGUCAUGAAUGUUCUUUUCUACCGUUGCAUUUCGAUUAUACUAUGUCAAUUAUCUUUCUU